UGGGAAAAGUGCUGGGUUAGAAGGUGGUUUGGUAAACGUUUGAGAAGAAACAUUUUAAGACAGAAAAGUAAAGGAUGAGAACCAGACAAAAAACAUGUGAUACUUCUACAACUAUUGUUAGUAAAAUGUCAUUUUUUCGCAGAUCCUCAGCCCUUCUCUUUGAUUUGUUCUUUAAAUCAGAGACAGAUGCGAUGUAUGGAUCACGGACGUGAGCAGUUGUUCACAGUCAUUUUUGGUGAAAGUUCUCUAACUGCUGAGAGAAAAUCUGCCUGGAUACAGAAGACAGCCAAUCAGGAGCUGACAGGGGCCACAAACAAGAACGCAUCGUCUACAGUGUCUGUUUGUCGUUGCGGGUGCAGCAGUGUAAGCAGGGAUGCCCAGACCUCCCUCUCACCAGCCACCUCCUCCAGCUCCACUGGGGAAAACCAAGGCGUUCCCAGGCCAGCCGAGAGAAGAGAUGAUGUCAGACACGCCGAAGAGCACAUGGCUCCACCCUCCAGCCAGCAGUCAAAACAGGCAGAGAGCAGCUGGGCCCACAAAACGCCAACGGCAGGCACAAAAAUCAGAGCCGAAACCGUGGCACUAGAACAACCGACGGCUGUACUUUCCACAGCUGACCUCAAGUUUCCCCAGCACUACAGCACUGAAAGGGAACUGGAGGAGAACUCAGAGGGGAAUUUUCUGAUCUUAUUCUAGGUUACCAGGGCUGUGGGUGACAACAACCACACACAGCAUAGGAGGGAAGAGAUGAAAGCCAGCAAUGCAAACAUGCAACUAAACAGAAAAGUAUGUACAUGGAAGCGCAACAAGCUACAGCACAACAAUCUAAACUAAUUCUCUGUAAUAUAAACACAGGUCGAGUGACAUCUGUCUGCUUUUUGGAGGACAAGAAAUCAUAUGCAAAUGCUAAAUGCAUUUAAGCCAUUCGGAUAUAUAAAUGCGAUAUAUAAAUGUGAUUUUUACUCAAAUGUAAACACCCUGAAUGACAGUGGAGAAACCGGGAAAGAAA